AAUCCUCAGCAUAACAACCUAAAAAACUCAUCAUCCCAGUUUUUUUUUUCUUCUUAAUCUUCAUCUCGACCAUUAAAAAUAUCCAUUAACUCUUUUAACUUCCACUCAUAAUUUCCAUCCAAACAAACACAAAAACAAAAUUUCUUGCAUAAUGAUAUCUCUCUCUCUCUCAAAAAUCUUUGGCGCAAACAUUUUCUCACGAUCUCCUCUCAUUUUCGCAGACUUCGUCCUCCAUAAAUCAGUUUGGGUGUUAUCAUUUUUAUCUUUUAUUCAAUUUUCUAAACGAUUUUAUAAUAGAUGAUUUACAAAUUUGAUAGAUUAGUGUGAUUUGUAGAGGGAAGUGAAAUGGGUAAAUUUGAUUUUGAAGAUUUGGAUUGGUCGAUGAAAGAUGGUGCAAAUACAGUGAACAUGAAAUUAGGUGGAUUCAAUUUAUGUAAAAGAUUUGAAUCCAGCUUUGUGUUUAUGUCUUUUGAAGGUUUUUGAACAUUCUUGUAGCAUUCCUUUGUUCCUCUGUGAGUUGAGAGGGUUGGGGUUUGUUCAUGAUAAGAAAAAAUCAUGUGGCUCUACAGAAAACCAAAGAGCAUAAGACAACUUCAAAGCCAAAAGUGAUGAAUCAAAGUAAUAUUAUUGUUUUAAAGAUGAUUGUUUAAACCCUAAUGUUAUUGUUUUUGUGUUUAUGUUAGGCAUGGAAUUUGUGAGUAGAGGUGAAAGAGAUACCGGAAAAAGUGGAAGUAAAAGAGUUAAUGGUAGAGAUGAAGAUGAAUAUUUUUUUCCCUUCUGGGUUGUUAUGUAGAAGAUGAAGAUCAACAAGAAAAAAGAAGAGGAAGAAGAAGAAGAAAAGGAGAAAAAAUAAUUUAAUGUGGUUCAUCAUAAGAUAUAAUAGACUUGUAUGAUUUAACAGUCCCAUUUUUUAGAAAAAAAAUCAAGGGUUAAAAACUGACAUACAAUGUUGUCAGUUUAGAUAUCUAUGGUUAAAAACUGACGGAAGGGACCAUUUUGACAGACAGAGAUAGAGUUAAGGGACCAAAUCAAAACUUUUAUUAAAUAAGGGACCAAGAUGAAACUUGAAAAUUAAUUAGGGGAUCAAAUAUGUAAUUAAGCCUAUUAUAUCAGUCAUUUAGCAUAUAUAAUUUAAAUAUGUAAAC
rnacentral:lncRNA from 1 species